rnacentral:rRNA from 1 species
GGAUGAACGCUGGCGGCGUGCCUAAUACAUGCAAGUCGAGCGAACAGACGAGGAGCUUGCUCCUCUGACGUUAGCGGCGGACGGGUGAGUAACACGUGGAUAACCUACCUAUAAGACUGGGAUAACUUCGGGAAACCGGAGCUAAUACCGGAUAAUAUAUUGAACCGCAUGGUUCAAUAGUGAAAGACGGUUUUGCUGUCACUUAUAGAUGGAUCCGCGCCGCAUUAGCUAGUUGGUAAGGUAACGGCUUACCAAGGCAACGAUGCGUAGCCGACCUGAGAGGGUGAUCGGCCACACUGGAACUGAGACACGGUCCAGACUCCUACGGGAGGCAGCAGUAGGGAAUCUUCCGCAAUGGGCGAAAGCCUGACGGAGCAACGCCGCGGGAGUGAUGAAGGUCUUCGGAUCGUAAAACUCUGUUAUUAGGGAAGAACAAAUGUGUAAGUAACUAUGCACGUCUUGACGGUACCUAAUCAGAAAGCCACGGCUAACUACGUG